GCACAGUUGAAGAAGCGACGGAGGGUCGAGGAGUCGUUUGUGAGGUGAGUUCCAGGGGGUGGGGGGGAUCGUGUUGCUGCGAUCGCUUUCCCGCGGGCUAGACUUCUGGGGUCCUGAGGGAGACAGGGACGGGGUUUCGAAUUCCCGACUCCCUGUCAAUCAUUAAUAGACGACUCCAGGCGCCCCAUGUCUGAAGCUGAACUACAUCUCCCGGCAUCCCCGGGAGGUAGCCAGGCCUCCACCCGGCACUUCUUAAAUGUCGGUAUUCCACCGUAGAGGGCUAUGGGCCGGGGGUCCCAGGGGAAGGAGGAGACUGGGACUCUUGGGAGGGUCUAAGGAGUGGGACUUGAGGAAGAAGGACCCCCUUUCCUGGCCUCAGUUUCCCAUCUGUGACCGGGAGGGCGGAGGAGAUUGUGCAGUCGCCCGCCGCUGCCUUCUCUGCAUUUUUUUUUGAUAACUCCUUCCUUCUCAGAGUUGGUGGAGGCUUUAACCUUUUCCUCUGGGGAGGUCUGGGGUCAGGCCGACCUGGGUUCUCAUCCCGAUGGUGCUGUUGAGUCGGUGUGAACUUGGGCUUCGAAGGGUUUUACUUUAACGUUUUAUUGUGAAAAUGUUCAAACUCACAGAGAAUAAUGUAAGAAUCCCUAUCGCCUAUGGGGCGCUUGGGUGGCUCAGUCGGUUGAGCAUCCGACUUUGGCUCAGGUCAUGAUCUUGGGGUUUGUGAGUUCAGGCCCCCUGUCGGACUCUCUGCUGACCGAUCGGAGCCUGGAACCUGCUUCAGAUUCUGUGAUAACGCUGCUGAGAAUAUUUGUGUGAGAAUUUUUGUGUGGACGUGUUUUCAUUUCUGUCGGAAGCAGCAUUGCUGAAUCAAAUAGUAACUCUACCUUUAGGCUUUUGAGAAACUGCCAGACUUUUCCACAGUGGCUGCCCCAGCCUCCAUUCCCACUCAGUGUGUAAGGGUUCCAGUUUCUCGACACUUGUUAUGAUCUGACUUUUCGGUUGUGAUCCUCCUAGUGGGUUUGAACUGGUAUCUCACUGUGGUUUUUUAUCGCAUUACUUAAAGUUUUAUUAGGGCGCCUGGGUGGUCCAAUCGGUAAGGCGCGUCAGACUUCAGCUCAGGUCAUGAUCUUGCGGUCUGUGGGUUCGAGCCCCGCGUCGGGCUCUGUGCUGAUGGCUCAGAGCCUGGAGCCUGCUUCAGAUUGUGUGUCUUCCUCUCUCUCUGCCCCUCUCCCCUCCUCUCAAAAAAUAAACAUUAAAAAAAAUAAUAAAAUAAAAAGUAAAGUUUUAUUUAUUUAUUUAGAGAGAGUGCACCCAUGAACGGAGGAGGGGGAGAGACAGAAUCCCAGGCAGGCUCUAUGCUGUCUGUGGGGCUUGAUCUCACGAAUCAUGAGAUCAUGACCUGAGCGAAAACCAAGAGUCUGAUGCUCAACCGACUGCGCCACCCAGGCACCCCUAUUUAGUUUUAAAGAUUUUUUAAAUAUAAUUUUCUAAUGUCUAUUUUUUGAGAAAGAGAGAGAGAAACAGAGUGCAAGUGAGGGAGGGGCAGAGAGAGAAGGAGACACAGAAUCCGAAGCAGGCUCCAGGCUCUGAGCUGUCAGCACGGAACUCACGAACUGCAGGAUCAUGACCUGAGCCGAAGUCUGACCCUUAACCAACUGAGCCACCAAGGCACCCCUUAAAGAUUUUGUUUUUAAGUAAUUGCUCUACACGCAACACGGGGCUCAAACUUACAACCCUGAGAUCAAGAGUCACAUGCUCUACGGACUGAGCCAGCCAGGCGCCCCCUCACCCCACCCCCUGCCUAUUUUUAAAUUGGGUCACUCAUCUUUUUAUUAUUGAGUUAUAAGUCUUUCGUAUAUUCUAGAUGUUAUUCCUUGAUUGGAUAUAUGAUUUGCAACCCCCACUUGUGUUUGUACAGCCUGCGAACUAAGAACGGUUGUAACAUUUUUUAAAAAUUAGACAAAAUCAAAAGAAAUGAUAUUUUGUGACCCAUGGCAAUUUAUGUGAUUCAGAUGUCCGUGUCCACAAGGAAACUUUUAUUGGAACACAGCCAUGCACGUUCAUGUCCGUGGUGUCCAUGGCUGCUCUUGCCGUAGGAGAGCCGAGCUGAGUAGUUGUGACAGGGGCCCAGUGGGCCACGAAGUCAAAAAUCUUUUUUUUUUUUUUUUAAUGUUUAUUUAUUUUGGAGAGAGACAAAGAGCACGAGUCGGGGAGGGGCAGAGAGAGAAGGAGACACAGGAUCCGAAGCAGGCUUCAAGCCGUCGGCCCAGAGCCCGACCCCGGGCUCGAACUCACGAACCGUGAGAUCAUGACCUGAGCCGAAGUCCGACGCUCCACCGACUGAGCCACCCAGGCGCCCCAAAGUCCAAAAUCUUUACUAUCCUGACCCUUUUUGGUUGAUCCCUGCCACGUUCCUUAUGGUGAAGGCCCUCGCCAGCAAUAUGACUAUUUCGGAGAUUGUCUGUGACGGACAAAAUGAAGGUUACGUGAGAUCAUGGGAGUGGAGUCCUACCGCAUGGGGCUGGUGUUGUUAGGACAGGAGGAGAUGCCAGAGGGCACGCUCUCUGCCCUGUGAGGACACAGCAAGAAGGCGGCCACUAUCCGGGAGCCAGGAAGAGAGAGUCCUCACCAGAAGCUGACCACGCUAGCACCGUGAUCUUGGACUUCCAGCCUCCAGAACCAUAAAUAUCUCCACAAAUAAAUGUCUGUUGUCUAAGCCACAUUCCAGUAGAUGGAAUUUUGUUCUGGCAGCCCUAGCUAACUGAUGCAGAUAGGAAGAGCCAAACCUGCACUGUAAAGUUACAUUUUUAUCCUUUCCGCUAACGGGUAUUGGCACCCUGCGAAUAUACAGUUCCCUUCAGUCUUUCCCUUAAGGGCAUCCCUCAACAAUCAUUGCCUCGUCAACUGUGUUGUCAGGGGAUGCAAAAUGCUUUUCCACUUCUUUUAUUUAUCUUUUCUUUUUUUUUUUUUUUUUUAACAUUUAUUUAUUUUUGAGAGACAGAGAGAGACAGAGCAUGAGCGGGGGAGGGGCAGAGAGAGAGGGAGACACAGAAUCCAAAGCGGGCUCCAGGCUCGGGGCUGUCAGCACAGAGCCCAACGCGGGGCUUGAACCCACAAACCGUGAGAUUGUGACCUGAGCUUGAAGUUGGACGCUCUACCGACUGAGCCACCCAUGUGUCCCUUUAAAUUAAAAAAAAAAAAGUUUUUUUUUUUUUUUAACGUUUAUUUAUUAUUGAGAGACAGAGAGACAGAGCAUGAGCAGGGGAGGGGCAGAGAGAGAGAGGGAGACACAGAAUCUGAAGCGGGCUCCAGGCUACGAGUGGUCAGCACAGAGCCUGACGCGGGGCUCGAACCCACAAACCACGAGAUCAUGACCUGAGCUGAAGUUGGAUGCUCAACCAACGGAGCCACCCAGGCGCCCCUAAAUUUUUUUUUAAUGUUUAUUUAUUUUUGAGAGAGAGAGAGUACAAGCAGGGGAGGGGCAGAGGGAGAGGGAGACACAGAAUCUAAAGUGGGCUCCAGACUCUUAGCUGUCAGCACAGAGCCUGAUGUGGGGCUUGAACCCACAAACUGCAAGAUCUUAACCGCAGCCAAAGUCAGAUGCUUAACCAACUGAGCCACCCAGGCGCCCCUGCAUCAGCCAUUAUUAAUAGAGAAUCUCUGGGGGUGCCUGGCUUGCUCAGUCGGAGGGGUGUGUGAUUCUUGAUCUUAGGGCUGUGAGUUCAAGCCCCAUGUUGGGCGUAGAGAUUACUUAAAUAAAUAAAAACUUGAAAAAAACAGAGAAUCUCAGAUGCUCACUUUUGCUUUUAGCGAACUCUCUCGGUACUGCUUACACCCCGUCCUAAGUCUGCGAUUUCCUUGAGUGUAAUUAGCUCCUUGGUUUCCUUUAACACAGAAGCCUUCAUACCCCUGGAAUGGCCUGGCACACACCUUUUAGGGAGAGGGGUGUGUGGCAUUCUCUAGGUUCUCAAAGGGAUCCCUGACCCCACCAAAAGGUUAAGAGCCACUGGUUUUAGAGUUCAGAAAACCAACUGCAGAAAAAGACGGCAGGGAGUCGGUAAUUUGAACGCCAGCCAGAACCAUUAGCGUGUUAAUGGUAUUGUGGUCAUGGUUUUUAAAAGUCCCAUCGCAGCGCUGUGCCCUGUGCCCUUCGAGCCCUAGCUGCUAGUCCCAAGAGGCCGUGCAGCACUUUACUAAGUGGCUAGUUUGACUUGAGGGACUGAAUGUUUCUCAGUUCUUUCAUUUUAAUUCAUUUAAAUAGAAACGCCAACACUAGACCGAGUUAUCGGAAACCUUGUAAGCAUGUUCGGAACAGAGGCGGUAUGUGAAUGUACCUUGGCAGCCGUAAAUCACAAAACCUAAAUAGAGGUCAAGUAUCUCCAGUGAAAGUUUCGCGUGUGAAUUGAAAUGUGUUGAAAGAGUAAAGCAUAGUCCAGAUCUUGAAGGCUUUGUACAAAACAAAAAGGGGGAGGGGGAAUGGGUUGGCCUGUGUCCUCAGACUGUCACCCUCUUGGGAGGACUGACAGUUGCCACGUGGUUAAGGGGGCGGCCCCGCAGCCUGCUUGCCUGGGUUCCCCUUCCCAGCUGGGGGAUGCCCGAGCCUGUUUCCUCCCCCGGAAGUGGGGCGUGAUGAUAAGCAGGAGAUAGGAUUUUGGAAUUUCUCUGAAAUACUAGUGACAGCAGAUGGCAGUAGUUCUGUUCUCUGUUUUGAACUUGGCCCUAAUGAGGAGACCAUACAGCUGCGCUGGGUCCUGCCACGGCCGCCCACCAGCCCGUUAGCCCGCGGCCAGCAGCUCUUAAACUUUUUGGUCUCCGUGUCAUAAAAGUCAUCCAGGACUCCAGAGAACUUUUGUUUAUGUGAGUUCUAUCGAUUCAUAUUUGCUGUACCAGAAAUUAAACCUGAUGUGAAAAAAGGUUUUUAUGGGCGCCUAAGUGGCUCAGUCGGUAAAGCGUCCGACUCUUGGUUUCAGCUCAGGGCAUGAUCUCACGGUUCAUGGGUUCGAGCCCCGCAUCGGGCUCCGUACUGACAGUGUGGAGCCUGCCUGGGAUUCUUCUCUCUCCCUCUCUGUCUGCCCCUUCUUCACUCUCUCUUUUUCUCUCUCUCUCUCUGUCUAAAUAAACUUUAAAAAAGAAAAAGGUUUGGGGCGCCUGGGUGGCUCAGUCGGUUAAGCCGCUGACUUCGGCUCAGGUCAUGAUCUCGCGGUCCAUGAGUUCGAGCCCCGCGUUGGGCUCUGUGCUGACAGUUCAGAGCCUGGAGCCUGUUUUGGAUUCUGUGUCUCCCUCUCUCUGACCCUCCCCCGUUCAUGCUCUGUCUCUCUCUGUCUCAAAAAUAAAUAAACGUUAAAAAAAAAAAGGAAAAAGGUUUUUAUUGAGCAGUAAUUCACAUAACACAAAAUUCAUCCAUUUAAAGUGAUAUAUACACUAUUUUGUGCAAUCACCACCACUUAUCAUUCUGGAACAUUUUCAUCACCCCAAAAAUAAACCAGAAAGUCACUCCUCACUUCCCCUUCUCCCAUCCUGUGGUAACCACCAUUCUGCUUUCUGUCUCCAUGGAUUUGCCUGUUCUGGACGUUUCUUAUACGUGGAACCCUACGAUACAUGGCCUUUGUGCCAGCUUCCUUUCUCUUAGCAUAAUAAAACAUUAUUUAAAAAUCAGCUCCACACCCACUGUGGGGCUUGAAUUCAGGACCCUGAGAUUAAGAGUCACAUGCUCCACCAACUGAGCCAGCCAGGUGCCCCUAAAACAUUUUUAAAACCCAAGGAUGCAGAAGCAUACAUUCAGUUUGCGGUGGGAGCAAUGACAUCCUCACGUGUCACGCUGUCUCUGGAAAACUCCACUGUGCACUUGUGAGAGAGUGAGAGUAACAAAGGCAAACACAUGUUAGUAUUAUUAUGGAAAUAGCUUGUGGACCCCCUGAAGGUAUCUUAGGAACCCCUCUAGGAUCCCCGGACCUUACUUUGAGAACCACUGCCCUAGGCAAUGGCUUCACUUCUAAGAAUCCUUUUGCCCAUCUGAAAAAUGGUCAUGGGCCAGACUUCAGAGAGUGGUUGAGGUUGGACAAUCAAUGAGAUGGGGGCACAGAGAGUUGGCGUGGGGUCAGAGAUCUUAGCAGUGUUCUGUGGGACUAUUCCAUUAUCACCUGGCCAAGUUAAAAAAAAAAAAAAAGGUUGCCUCUGUAGUUGCUCCUUUUACUCUUGGAGGGAAAAUGUCUCCGGCCAUGGCCAUGAAGCCAAAGAGUGUAGAAACCCCUGUCAUUGGCCACAAGACAAGCAGCUGUGUGCCAAAUCCCACAGAGGGUCAAGGCAGUUGACAACUAAGAAUAGAGUAGGGAAUUUGGCCAUGAGGAGGUCAAUGCGACCUUCAUGAGUGGCAGUUGGGGGGGCUGGGGCUGAAGCCAGAGGGUGGGGGGAGGAGUGCCUGGCAGGUGAGAGAGGGGAGACAGCAGGUGCUGGAUGUUUGCUCAAAAGCUUGGGGGUGAGGGGAAGUUGGAGGAGGGCCAUGGGUCAAGUUGGGGUGUUUCACCAAGGUUAGCUGUCGCAGGCAGCACAGUGGCCACCACUGGGGUGAAAUGUUUUGUGUCUCGACUGGGGUGGCAGUCACAAGGGCAUACAUCUCUGUCAACACGCAUCAGAUCUAUGUCCAUACACCGAAGAACAAAAACCAGCUUCUGAGAGGAAAUCGCCAGUAGGGGGAGAGCGAGAUCCAUAGCUCGGAGAGGGAGAGAGUUUUGUGGUUCAAGUUCUGAAUGUGAAAGACAAGAGUCUGAAGGCGACCAGAAGAGGGGAAUACAGACAAAGUUACUUUUUGCAGUUUGGGAGUCCUUGGCUGUGUCCCCCCGCCCCCGGCUCCACCCCAGCCUUCUGGACCUUUCUCACAACCAGAGAGCCAGAGAGAAUAUUUCCUGAACACCGCCUAUGUGCCAGGCUCUGAGCAGGACUCAUUCAGCUGUCACAGAAAUCCAGUCUCGGCAAUGAGAUCCCAUGGUUAUCCCAGGGAUGAUUAACUUUUUGCCAAAUUAAACCAAGGCUCAGAGAAAGGAAAUGGCCAACCUAGGGUCACAACAGCCAGUGCGGGGCCAACCCUGGACUCAAGCCCAGGCUGAAGGUCAUCUUGCCCAAUCCUUGAUCCCUAUAGCCUACAACCCCCUCCUGUAGCUCCAGCCCCUGAUUAGUCCCCACCGACACAUGGGCAACCACUCCGAUAUGCAGAACAUACACGCUCUUGUUUGUAAGUAUUCUUUAAUACGCACUAUCUUGGGGCGCCUGGGUGGCUCAGUGUGGUGGUUAAGCAUUCAACUCUCGAUUUCCGUUCAGGUCAUGAUCUCACGGUUCGUGAGUUUGAACCCCAUGUUAAGUUCCGAGCUGACAGUGCAGAGCCUGCUUUGGAUUCUCUCUCUCUCCCUUUCUCUGUGCCCUUCCCAUGCUCCCUCUUUCUCUCUUUCUCUCUCAAAAAUAAGUAAAACAAUAAAAUGUACUAUCUUGCACACACGUAGAUUGGUAGUAAUUCUGUUUUAUUUUUUAAAUUUUGUGUAUUUUAUUAUUUUAGAGUAUGUGCACAUGAACAGGGGAGAGGGGCAGAGGGGGAGAGGAAGAGAAUCUUAAGCAGGCUCUACCCUCAGCACAGUGUCCAACUCAGGGCUCGAUCCCACGACCCCAGGAACAUGACCUGAUCCGAAAUCAAGAAUCAGAUGCUCAACUGGCUGAGCUACCCAGGUGCCCCUUACUUUUUUUUUUCUUAUUUUUUAUACCCAGUGUUAAGAUCCACCUGUGACACCUUGCAUGUAUCUAGCAGAUUGCAUCUCACUGCUGGGUGGUCUCCAGGAUGAGCUGUCACCACCCAUUCUCCCAGGGAGGGACAUCAGGUGCCUUUGACUCCCCUCUGGUAUAAAUAACACUGCUGUGGACAUCCUUGGGCAUGCUCCUUGUGGGUGUCUCUGAGAAUGUCUUUGGGGCCCAUCACCCACGGUGCAGAAUCACCUAUGCUUACCUUGCUAAAGUGCCACCAGCCUGUGUUCCGGGAGGCUGACCCUGUCCACUCUCCCCGCUGCAUUGCCUUAAGGGUCCUGAAACCGAUCAUGUGUCCUCACCAAGCCCUGGUCUUACCCAGCUUUUUGAAGUUUCGCCUGUCAGUCUGAUGAUGAUAGGUAUGAAGUGCUAUCUCACUGUGGUUUUCACUGAAGAGAGCUGGAUUAUCUCUCCAUACGCUCGUUAGUCUUUGAGCUGCUUCUGUAAGUUGCCUUUUCACAUCCUUUGCUAAUUUUCCUGUCAGGGUGGCUGUUUUUUUUUCUUGUUGAUUUGCCAGAGCCCCAUGUACAGUCAGUUCCGCUAGAACACCUGUUUUGAAAAUUUAGGGGCGCCUGGGUGGCUUGGUCGGUUAAGCAUCCGACUUCGGCUCAGGUCAUGAUCUCACGGUCCGUGAGUUCGAGCCCCGCAUCGGGCUCUGUGCUGACGGCUCAGAGCCUGGAGCCUGUUUCAGAUUCUGUGUCUCCCUCUCUCUCUGCUCCUCCCCUGUUCAUGCUCUGUCUCUCUGUCUCAAAAAUAAAUAAACAUUAAAAAAAAAAUUAAAAAAAAGAAAAUGUGAAUUCCAGGGCACCCAGCUGACUCAGUCAGUUAAGCAUCCGACUUCGGCUCGGGUCAUGAGCUCACGGUUCGUGAGUUCGAGCCCCGCAUCAGGCUCCAUGCUGACAGUGCAGAGCCUGCUUGAGAUUCUGUCUUUCUGCCCCUCCCGACUCAUGCUUUCUCUCUCUCUCUCAAAAUAAAUGAAUACACUUAAAAAGAAAGAAAGAAAAUGGGAAUUUAUCCCGGCGCAAUCGAUCAUGUUUGGAAACAAUUGGACCAUAGUGCAGAUUUCCCCUUUGCUUAUAUGUGCUUUCACCCACCCAGGCGAGAAGGGGGUGAACCCCCCAAAACCGCACUCCACUGCAGUGAGCCUGUAGGCAUACACCGAGCACACACAUGCAUACAUAGCCCCAAACAGAACAUCUCUAGGCCCCUCACUUCACCAUGUCUGUAUGUAAGGAGCCCCACGCAUCCUCAUCUGCUGCUAGAACUUCUCUGGAUUUCAGAGAACCCUCCUUCUACCGCCUCAGAGUAACUCACAGGGUGCACGCCUUCUGAUGCAUGAUUCCACAAGCAGAGUGUAGGUCACUUUCCAAAGUGAAAUGCUGUCUUUCUUUUUGCAGUCUGUGGGUAUUUCCUAACCAGUCGACGCGUGUGAGACUGUCCUCCGCUGACCCACCCCCUGUUUUCCCAUCUGGCAAGGCCAGGGGCAGGUCGGCUCCGAGGGCCUGUCCUCCCUGGGGCCUCCCUCCACCACAGCCCUGCAACUGUCCCCUCCUCCUCCCCCCAGGAUGACCCGGCACGGCAAGAACUGCACGGCAGGGGCCGUCUAUACCUACCACGAGAAGAAGAAGGACACAGGUACUGGGUUUGGGAGGGGGGACAGUUGUAUCUCAAAGGCGCCAUCUCACUUUGCACCUCCGGCUGUGUCUUCUGGGCAUGUCUCUUUCCCCCCCACCCCACCCGCCGACCGAUGGUCAUGACACUAAGAGUAACAGCCCACGCGAUCCCGUGCCCCUGCAGUGGGCACUUGUGGGCGUGAACUCAUCUGAGACUCCCAGCUCCCCACUGAGGAAGGAAUCGCUGCUGUCGUAGCCAUAUUCCAGAGGCAGAAACUGAGGCCCAGAGAGGGCCAGGCCCUUGAGUCUGGGCUGAGGGGAGUCAGGCGUGAGCCUCUCUACCUGGCAACUUUGGUGACAGCCUGUCACUUACCCUCUGGAUUGACACCUUCCUGAGGGCUAUGCCCCGCCCCCAAUGCACACACACAGCCCGAGCUCUUGACUGCCUGUCUCUUGGGGUUUCGCAAGGGGCACCUCUCCUGUCCCUCCAUCCCUCUGCCUCUGUCUGUCCCCAGCGGCCUCAGGCUAUGGGACCCAGAACAUUCGACUGAGCCGGGAUGCCGUCAAGGACUUUGACUGCUGCUGCCUCUCUCUGCAGCCCUGCCACGACCCCGUCGUCACGUGAGCUGGGGAACUGCACUGGGGGGUGUGGGGAACCGCCUGCACAGCCAGGGCGCCCUGGGCAAGCCCCUUAACCCCUCAAGAGCCUCAGUGUGCUCAUCUGAGACAUGGGCAUGAUCCUAACGUGUUCCCCAGGGAUGUGGAAAAGACUACAUCCGUAACAGAGGGUAGGGCCCUUGGAUCAUUGCCUGGCACAUAAUAAUAGCUUAUGUGUGGAGCAUUUACCAUUCCCCGCCUUGUGGUCUGGCAGAGGCCUCGGUGAGAUAACGGGUACAAGGUGCUUAGUCCAGUGACUAAAUAUGGGCUCACUUUACAGGUCUGUUUUACAGACAUAGUGACGAGAGCAGCCCGUGGCUCAGGGUCCCUGAGGCCACCUGCAGGUUCAGUGAUUCAUUGGAAGAACUCGCAACUCAGAAAGGUGGUUAAGAGUCAGUGACGGCUUAUUACGGUACAAAGAUGGAGAUUAAGUCAGUCAGGGGAGAAGGCACGUGGGGCCGAGCCCAGGAGGGACCAGGAUCGAGCCUCCAGUUGUCCUCUCCUAAUAGAGUCACACAGACAGCGCUAGUCUCCCAACAACGACAUGUGACAGCAGGCAGACAUGGGCGCCGCCCACCGGGGGAAACUCACGGGAGCCCCAGCGUCCAGGGAUUUUACUGGAGGCUGGUAACUCAGGCAUGGCGUGACUUUGGUCUCCAGGCCCUCCAGAGGUCUAACCUCAUACCACAUGGCCCAGCCACCUCCCCCACCAGGUGAACUGAGACACUUUUAUCAGGCAGCACAUUCCAAGGGCUCAGAGGCUCCCUCCUGGGAGCUGGUUCAAGGGCCGGGUCCUUUGGAACGUGUAGGGUUUGGAGAACGCGGCCCGCUGAGCUAGCCCUUUAUUGCACAAGAUUUUCCCUACAAGGCAAAGCCAGGAGAGUGAAAAUGGCAUGGUCACCUCAGAGAGCUGUGCUAGGCACCGUGUGACCUGCCG
rnacentral:lncRNA from 1 species